AGAAAUUAGAGAGAGAGAGAGAGACCGAGAAAAACGAGAGGGAGCGAAGAAGAAGAAGAAGUUAAUCGAAGGGCAUUUUCCUUGCAUGCAACCGGCGAUCUUGAUCAAGGAUUCAAUAUCUGCACGAGCAUGCCAAGAGAGCAAGAAAAGAAGAAAUCUAGAAAAGGUAAAUAGGAAGAAAGGACUUCAGGUAGUAACUCUUUCUCUCAUAUGCUUAUGCAAUAGUUCUGCAUAUCUGUUUGUGUCAUAGUGCCUAUAUUCUUUAAUGAAUAUAUGGUGGUUUUGAUUAUGGGAGCUAUGUGCUUGAUUAUGAAUGGUGGUUUGAUUACGGGAGUUGUGUGUUCGAUGAAUGGUGGUUUUGAUUAUGGGAGCUGUGUGCUUGAUUACAAAUGGUGGUUUCGAUUACAGGAGCUGGGUGCUCUAUUAUGAAAGGUGGUUUUCAUUAUGGGAGCUAUGUUCUUGAUUAUGAAUGGUGGUUUUGAUUACGAGAGUUGUGUCCUCGAUUGUGAAUUGCAGUUCUGAUUAAGGUAGUUGUGUGCUUGAUUAUGAAGGGUGGUUUUGAUUACAAGAGCUGUGUGCUCAAGUAUAAAUGGUGGUUUUGACUACAGGAACUGUGUGCUCAAUUAUGAAUGAUGGUUUUGACUACAGGAGCUAUGCACUUGAUUAUGAAUGAUGGAAACUCACAAUCUGUGUAAAUAGUGGCACUGUGUGUUCCGUGUCUUGUGUGAAUACUGGAAUUGUGUAUUCUCUUAAACUCAUAUUUUGUGUGAAUAUUAGAACUAUGUGUUGUCUUAAACUAGUAUUCUGUGUGAAUAUUGGAACUGUGGGUUCCCUAAAACUCGUAUUCUGUAUCAAUAUUGGAAUUGUGUUUCCUUGAA